rnacentral:lncRNA from 1 species
CUGGGAUGAGGGGAGAGGGGUGAGCUCAACUAGGUCAGUGAGUGGAGAAUAAAACAUGCUCUCAUGGAAUGCAUCAUUUCUCAAGUAAUCACUGUAUGGAACGGACAGAACCGAUAAACCCUAUCAUGCAAGCGUUGCCCGGCCCGAAGGCUCACGGGACUUCAGUACAUGCAAUAGCUUUGCCCAGCCCUAAGGCUCGCGGGACUUUAGUUCACACAUCCUUAUGCCCGGCCCGAAGGCUCGUGGGACUUCAGUACACACAAUCCUACAGGGUUCUCGACUCUGUGCAAUGUCCAUUCCUUCAUGUCACAACUCAGAUCAAUGCAUCAGAUUCGUGAUCGCUAAUGCAACACCCUAAGUAUAACAUGAUGCAUGAAUCAUGUCAUGAAUAAAAACAAAUCAUAUAGUUUAGGUCCACUCACCUUUGUUGACUCUGAACUAACCUUGCAGGUUCUGAACUGUGCUCACUGAUGACCACUCUGAUUCCUCUGGUCCGUUCCUACACAGGUGGACUUAUAUGAGGGAUCAAACUAUCAUAAACACGACUCUAAGAAACUCCCCAAAAGCCCUCUAAACGAUCCUAAAACAAGCAUAGGAAACAUGCAAGAAAAGGCUGGACAGGGCACUUUCGGCGGCUGGUUCGGCGGCCGAAACCCCCCUCCAGAGACGAAACUCAUGCAUGUUCGGCGGCACCUUCGGCGGCCGAAAGUCUCGUCUAGAGACGAAACUCAAACACUUUCGGUGGCCGAACUUCUUCUUUCAGCGGCCGAAAGUCCUUUUCUAAACCGAAAGCCUAGCUUUCGGGGGCAAGCUUUGGCAGCCGAAACUGCCUCCUCAAGGGGUUCGGCGGCCGAACCUUCCUUCGGCGGCCGAACCUGGUUUUGCCCGAAGGGCAGAACCUGCUCUGCUUCAUGCAAACUUACCCAAAAAUCCUACAACAUGCAUAUCAACUACUCCCAGCUAGCAUAUACACAUAUAUAUGCACAAAGGGGUCCAAAACUAACUUAAAACCCCAAACAAACAUCAUCAAAUAACACAUAACAUGCUUAAACAUCAAAAUCAACAAAACCUCCCUCAAAUCAACUACCCAUAAAAACUUCAUAAAACCUUCAAAAAUCAACAAAGGAGGUUCAGGAUCUGUCCUUACCUCUUCCAAACAAGAGAUCCGACGAUCCUAACGUGAAGUUAUGAAGAUUCAAGCUUCCAAACCUUCAACCUUCCAACCUUUGCUCUUUUUACGUAAAACCUUCAAAAACAAACAUAAACUCUUGAAAACUUGGAAAAAGUGAUGGAAGGACAUGAAAAUCUCCCAAGGAGACUCAGAGCCUCACCUCAGGUGGAGAAAAUGGAAAACUUAUCCAAAAUCACCGACCUUUGACCAUUUAAAGGGGGCUGGUCAGGCCUCCUUCGGCGGCCAAACGUGAAGCCGAAUCCAUGCAAAGUUCGGCGGCCGAAAGUCACCUUCGGCGGCCGAACUUGCUAUUUCUCCCAUAAUGCUUUUCAUUCAAAACCUUAGUCCGUAAACCAUUUUAAAACAUUACAAAUACUUAAAACAUCUUAGAAAACACAUGUAUUCCCCGUCUAGAUACUUCCGACACCCGAGAUCCCACCGGACUACAGGAAUCCCGAUGCCGGACUCUAGCCGGGUAUUACAUUCUCCCCCCCUUAAGAACAUUCGUCCCCGAAUGUUCCUCAAUCAUAAAAACACAAAAGCACAUAGAAAAAGGGGAAAACUAACCUCAAAACAGAUAUGGGUAGUGCUGGAGCAUAGACUCCCGUGUCUCCCAGGUGCACUCUUCUAAGUUGAGGUGGUUCCAUAGGACUUUCACCAUUGGUAUUUCCUUGUUCCUCAGUUUCCUGAUCUGGGUGUCUAAGAUCCGCACUGGCUGUUCUACAUAGGUGAGAUCUCCUAGGAUCUCUACAUCAGGUUCACUGAGAACCUUACUCGGAUCUGAUACAAAUUUCCUCAACAUAGACACAUGAAACACCGGGUGAAUCUUCUCCAUAGAGGCAGGUAAAUCCAGCCUGUACGAUACAUUCCCAACCUUCUGCAGGAUUUCAAAGGGACCAAUGUACCGUGGAGCUAGUUUACCCUUCUUCCCAAAGCGAACCACUCCUUUCAUUGGAGACACCUUUAGCAAUACUAUAUCCCCCUCCUGAAACUCAAUCUGCUUUCUACGGACGUCUGCAUAGCUUUUCUGUCUGCUGACAGCUGUCUUGAUCCUCUCUCUGAUGAUAGGCACUAACUUGCUGGUAAUCUCAACUAACUCUGGCCCUGCAAGAGCCUUUUCUCCUACUUCUUCCCAGCAUACAGGUGUUCGGCACUUCCUCCCAUACAAAGCUUCAUAAGGGGCCAUCCCGAUGCUAGCAUGAUGGCUGUUGUUGUAGGCAAACUCUACAAGAGGUAGAUGCUGCCUCCAAGAACCGCCAAAGUCUAACACACACAUUCUCAACAUAUCUUCAAUGGUCUGGAUGGUCCUCUCUGACUGACCGUCGGUCUGUGGAUGGAAAGCAGUGCUGAAAUCCAAUCUUGUGCCCAUCUCAAUCUGCAGACUCCGCCAAAACCUGGAGGUGAACUGAGGUCCUCUAUCUGACACUAUCGACACUGGAACGCCAUGCAACCUCACUAUCUCUUCAACAUAAACCUGCGCUAAAUUGUCCACAGAAUAGUUGCUCUUAACUGGAAUGAAGUGAGCAGAUUUCGUCAGUCUAUCCACUAUCACCCAGAUGGAGUCUAGCCUGUUGGACGUCGCCGGUAAGCCCACUACAAAAUCCAUCGCUAUGUUCUCCCAUUUCCAUUCUGGAAUCGGCAGUGGGUUAAGCAGUCCAGUCGGCUUCUGGUGCUCUAACUUCACCAUUUGACAUGUUUCGCAGGCUGACACAAACUGUGCCACUUCUCUCUUCAUUGCUGGCCACCAAUAUACUCUUCUCAAGUCUUGAUACAUCUUGGUGGCUCCAGGGUGAACGCUAUACCUCGCAUUAUGAGCUUCUCUCAGAAUAGCUUCCUUCAAACUAGGGUCAUCUGGUACACAUAACCUCUUACCAUGACGAAGAAUCCCUGCACUGUCAAAUCUGAACUCUGCACUGUUGCCCGACUGAACAGCCCUGGCAAUCUUUACUAACUCGGAGUCCUCGUGCUGUUUCAGAGCCACUUGCUCCAGAAACACUGGUGUAACUCUCAUUUGUGCGAUCAAAGCACCUGUACCAGAUAACUGCAUCUGUAGCCCUUCAUCUACGAGCUUGUAGAAGUCCUUCACCACCGGCCUUCUCUCUACCGCAAUGUGGGAUAGACUGCCAAGUGACUUCCGGCUUAAGGCAUCAGCUACAACAUUAGCCUUACCCGGAUGAUACUGGAUUUUGCAAUCGUAAUCACUGAGCAAUUCUACCCACCGUCUCUGCCUCAAAUUUAGCUCUCUCUGGCUCAAGAUGUGCUGCAGGCUCUUAUGAUCUGUGUAGAUCUCACACUUUACCCCAUAAAGGUAAUGCCUCCACAUCUUAAGUGCAAAGAUAACAGCUGCCAUCUCAAGAUCGUGUGUCAGGUAAUUCAGCUCGUGCUUCUUCAGCUGUCUAGAAGCAUAAGCUAUUACUCUGUCAUUCUGCAUCAACACACAACCUAAUCCCACUUGGGAUGCAUCACAGAACACCGUGAAGUCUUGAUCACUGACUGGCAGAGCUAACACCGGUGCUGAAGUCAAACGUCUCUUUAACUUCUCAAAACUCUCAUCACAUUCUUCUGACCAGUUAAACUUCUGAUUCUUCCUGGUCAGUCUGGUCAUAGGAGCAGCUAUCUUCGAGAAGUCCUGUACGAACCUCCGAUAGUAGCCUGCCAAACCCAGAAAACUCUUGAUCUCUGUCACUGUCGUGGGUGUAGGCCAGUUGGCUACUGCCUCUACCUUUUUGGGAUCUACUGCUAUGCCUUCCUCUGAAACUACAUGACCCAAAAAGGAAAUGUUCCUCAGCCAGAACUCGCACUUAGAGAACUUGGCAUACAAGCCAUGCUCUCUCAAGGUCUGUAGAACUAUCCGCAGGUGCUGGGCAUGCUCCUCUGCAUUCCUGGAGUACACCAAGAUAUCAUCUAUAAAGACAAUCACAAAGCGAUCCAAGUACUCCCUAAAAACCCUAUUCAUGAGAUCCAUGAAAGCUGCAGGGGCGUUAGUUAACCCGAACGGCAUUACUAGGAACUCAUAAUGCCCAUACCUGGUCCUGAAAGCGGUCUUGGGUACAUCCUCUUCCCUGAUUCUCAACUGAUGGUAUCCGGAUCUGAGAUCUAUCUUCGAAAAACAACCUGCUCCUGCCAGCUGGUCGAAGAGAUCAUCAAUCCUGGGUAGAGGAUACUUGUUCUUGAUAGUGACUUUGUUCAACUACCUGUAGUCGAUACAAAGUCUAAGAGAUCCAUCCUUCUUCCUGACGAACAGUACUGGAGCACCCCAGGGUGAGGUACUCGGGCGGAUGAAACCCUUAUCUACCAAGUCCUGUAACUGCUCUUUUAACUCUCUCAGUUCUGCUGGUGCCAUCUUGUAGGGAGGAAUAGAGAUCGGUCUGGUACCAAGCAUCAACUCUAUCUCGAACUCUAUUUCCCUAUCAGGUGGUAAUCCUGGAAGCUCUUCCGGAAACACAUCUGGAAAUUCUCUAACAACUGGUACUGAGGAUGGUUCCCUAACCUGCUUAUCUAGCUCUCUCACAUGAGCUAGGAACCCCUGACAUCCUCUCCUCAACAAUCUACGAGCCUGAAGGGCUGAUAUCAUACCCCCAGGUGUCCCCCUCCUAUCUCCGCUGAAGACAUACAAUGACCCAUCCUGGUCUCUGAAACUGACUACCUUGUCUCUGCAGUUCAAGGUAGCCUCAUACGUAGAUAACCAAUCCAUCCCUAGAAUGACAUCAAAAUCUGUCAACUCUAGAACCACAAGGUCAGCUGGAAGGUAUCUACCCUCUAUACAUACUGGACUGAACUGACAGACUGACUCUGCCAAAGAUGGAUCACAUUUGGGUCCACUGACCCAAAGAGGACACGCUAGCUCGGACACCCUCAGACCCAACCUCUCUGCUGCUCUAGCAGAAAUGAAAGAGUGAGAAGCACCGGGGUCUAGCAGAAAUGAAAGAGUGAGAAGCACCGGGGUCCAUCAAAGCAUACACCUCUGAACACCCAAUGAUGAGAUUACCUGACACCACAGUGUUCGAAGUGUCUGCCUCCUGCUGCGUCAUGGUGAAAAUCCGUGCUGGGGCUGACGGACCUGCACCUCGAGAACCCAUCCCUGAUGAAGAGGCUGCCCCUCUUCCUCUGCCUCUGCCACUGCUCUAUGGUACGGCUGAAGCUGCUGGCUGUGCUACACUGCCAGAAGUCAUCUGCUGAGAUGGUGCAACCAAAGUCGCCUGAGGACAUUCCCGUGCUAUAUGUCCUUCCUGCCCACAUCUGAAACAGGCUGAAGUCCCCAACAGACAAACUCCUCGGUGUAGUCUUCCACAUUUCUUACAUACUUGACUGCUCAUGCCAGAACCUGCGCUUCUGCCCAUUCCGAAACUGGAUUUCACUCUGCCCCAGAAUCUGUUCUUCUUCCCUUUUCCCUUCUCUCCUCUCUUCUCUUCUGAUGAUGCUACUCCAGUAGCUUUAGAACCUGAGGCCUAUGCCAUUUGCCGUUUCGCUGUUUCUUGAAAAUUGACACUUGCCUCCAUCAUUCUCGCUGCAUCCACAAUAGAGUGAAAACUCUCUUUAUCAGCUGUCUGGAUCAACGAGAAGUACCGAGGGUGUAACCUCAUGGCAUAUCUCCUUGCUUUCUUCUUCUCAAUGUCAUAUGCUUGCCCUACAUACUGGAACAAGUCCAAAAACUUGUCAGUAUACUCAUCUACACUCAUUCCUUCCGUCUGUCUCAACUGUUCAAAUUCCACCAUCUUCAUUUCUCUAGCACUAUCAGGAAAAGCCCACCCUGCAAAUUCGUUGGCGAACUCUUCCCACGACAUAGUGUCUAUUCUGGACUCCAUAUAGUGCUUGAACCAUUCUCUAGCCUUUUUGCACUUUAAUGUGAAUCCUGCCAUUUCAAUGGCCCUUUGAUCAUCAGCUCCCAGCUCACUAGCUAUCAUUCUCACUGCACUGAGAUACUCGAAGGGAUCAUCUCCUGUAUUGAACUUCGGAGCAUCCAACUUCAAGUACUCUGUCAUUUUCACCUUACUUCCCCCUGAAGAACUGGGUUGCUGUACUUCAACUACAGGGGCUACUGGUUCAGGUGGUGGUGGUGGAGGUACUGCUUCUCUGGGUUCGGGUUGUGCUGAACUUGUUGGGUAAGGUGGAGGUGGAUACAUGUGAUAGGGUGGAUAAAACGAAGGAUAGGGCAUGUAAGGCAUAUAGGGUGGAUAUGGGGUAAAGCUGGAGUAAUCCGACGUACCUCCCAUCGGAUACCCUGGGCCCUGUGGAAAGGGUGGAUAGCCAUAUCCCGAGGCCUGUGCGCCUCCCUGUGACUCCCCCAUGCCUUCUUCUGAGCUUCCUACCUCCAUGCUUACAUCUUCUCUUUCUUCCUCUACUCUUCCUCCCCUGUUUACUCCUCUUCUGCUUUCGUCAGAAGACCUUCUCAGGUCUUGUGACGUUCCCUCUCUGCUUGACCUGUGAGUCCUUGCCCUUGGCAAAGCAGGAGGACGAGCAGCUGGUUCCUCACUUACAGGUGGGACUCUAGUCAAUCUUGCUGAUCAACGAGUUCCUCGCAUCUUAACUCACUGAAAAACAACAUGAACAUAGCACAUAAGCACAUAAACAGCACAUAUCAUAAUGCACAUGCAUAUAGCAUGGUAGUUCACAUCAUCAUCAAAUAGACAGGACUGACAUCCUAUCCUAGUGGACAUGUUUUCCUAUUGUGCUUGACCAACUAGACCUCUAUGAGCCCCUCUUUCUCUAUAGGUCCGACCAUACGAACCUUGUGCUCUGAUACCACUCUGUAACAGCCCGGAAACCGAACCAUUACCGGCACUAGGAUCCAGAUCGGCUUAAGGCCGCCGGGACCCGUAGUAAGCCUACUGUGAAUUCUGUGUACCUGUGAAAACUCAUACAUGAUCAUACAUGUUCUGUAAAAAGAUAAAACUUUCUCCUUACUUGUCUUUUCCAGAGCUUAAUCUGUGCAUUCUGUACUCAUACUAUGUUAAGCCUGGUUUUCAUCACAUACAUCUCAUAAAACAUUUACAUAAAAAGAUCAUGUAUACACUAGUCAAGCACAAUCUAUACACUGUACAUUACAAUCUCUCUCAUAACAAGUCAUGUCCACACUAGCUAUUACAUCACCUUCAAUCCUUCUAUCCUCUGCUACCCUUGCUCUCUGAACUCUGUAUCCUGCAAUACUGGGAUGAGGGGAGAGGGGUGAGCUCAACUAGGUCAGUGAGUGGAGAAUAAAACAUGCUCUCAUGGAAUGCAUCAUUUCUCAAGUAAUCACUGUAUGGAACGGACAGAACCGAUAAACCCUAUCAUGCAAGCGUUGCCCGGCCCGAAGGCUCGCGGGACUUCAGUACAUGCAAUAGCUUUGCCCGGCCCUAAGGCUCGCGGGACUUCAGUUCACACAUCCUUAUGCCCGGCCCGAAGGCUCGCGGGACUUCAGUACACACAAUCCUACAGGGUUAUCGACUCUGUGCAAUGUCCAUUCCUUCAU